GAUGAAGAACGCAGCGAAAUGCGAUAAGUAAUGUGAAUUGCAGAAUUCAGUGAAUCAUCGAAUCUUUGAACGCACAUUGCGCCCCCUGGUAUUCCGGGGGGCAUGCCUGUCCGAGCGUCAUUACAACCCUCAAGCUCAGCUUGGUAUUGGGCCCCGCCGACCCGGCGGGCCCUAAAGUCAGUGGCGGUGCCGUCCGGCUCCGAGCGUAGUAAUUCUUCUCGCUCUGGAGGUCCGGUCGUGUGCUCGCCAGCAACCCCCAAUCUUUUUCAGGUUGACCUCGGAUCAGGUAGGGAUACCCGCUGAACUUAAGCAUAUCAAUAAGCGGAGGA
rnacentral:misc_RNA from 1 species